CACGUAGGAGGCGAGCGUUAUCCGGAUUUACUGGGCGUAAAGCGCGCGCAGGUGGUUCGGUAAGUUGGAUGUGAAAGCUCCUGGCUUAACUGGGAGAGGUCGUUCAAUACUACCGAACUUGAGAGUGGUAGAGGAAGGUGGAAUUCCGCGUGUAGUGGUGAAAUGCGUAGAUAUGCGGAGGAACACCAGUGGCGAAAGCGGCCUUCUGGACCACUUCUGACACUAAGGCGCGAAAGCUAGGGUAGCAAACGGG
rnacentral:rRNA from 1 species